UGUCAUAGACCCAGCAGGCAAUCCAAGAAACAGUAUAAAAAGGGCUCAAAACUCAGAUCACCUCAGACACCUGCUCUUCUCUUCACCUUGCUGACUUGAGUUCACCUCGCAGCCCGAAGGAUGUCGUUCUCCAGCCUGCAGCUCAGCUCCCGCUGCCUCCCCCCCUGCGCGGUGACCUGCCCGCAGCCAUGGGUCAACGCCUGCAACGAGCCCUGCGUCACCUCCUGCGGGGACUCCCGCGCCGUGGUCUACCCGCCGCCCGUGGUCAUCACCUUCCCGGGCCCCAUCCUCAGCUCCUGCCCCCAGGAGAGCUACGUGGGCACCUCGGAACCCCUGGGGCUCGGCAGCGCUGGGGGCCUUGGCGGCUCCCUGCUCUCUGGGGGCUCCUUCCCGGGCUCCUGGGGCCAGCGCUGGAGCUCCCGCUACGGGCGCUGCAGGCCCUGCUAAGCAGCACAGGAGAUGAUCUUGUUCAUAAUAAAAAUUACGCUGCAUCAGA